GUGACGAAGCGACGCCGCGUGUGGGAAGAAGGCCUUCGGGUUGUAAACCACUGUCGGGAGUUAAGAAGUGUAAGGGGGUGAAUAGCCCUCUUACUUGACGUUAGCUCCGGAGGAAGCCACGGCUAACUCUGUGCCAGCAGCCGCGGUAAUACAGAGGUGGCAAGCGUUGUUCGGAAUUAUUGGGCGUAAAGAGCACGUAGGCGGCCCUACAAGUCAGCUGUGAAAUCCUUCUGCUCAACGGAAGAACGGCAGUUGAUACUAUAGGGCUGGAGCGCGGGAGGGGAGAGUGGAACUUCUGGUGGAGCGGUGAAAUGCGUAGAUAUCAGAAGGAACAUCGGCGGCGAAAGCGACUCUCUGGCCCGUAACUGACGCUGAGGUGCGAAAGCUAGGGGAGCAAACGGGAUUAGAUACCCCGGUAGUCCUAGCCGUAAACGAU
rnacentral:rRNA from 1 species